GACGAACGUUGGCGGCGCGCUUAACACAUGCAAGUUGAACGGAAAGGCCUGCUUUCCCUUGUGGAUUGCGGGUACUCGAGUGGCGAACGGGUGAGUAACACGUGAGUGAUCUGCCCCCAACUUGGGUAUAAGCCUGGGAAACUGGGUCUAAUUCCCGAUAGGACUGCAGGGUGGUGCCUGUGGUGGAAAACGAUUUUCUAGUGGUUGGGGAUGAGCUCGCGGCCUAUCAGCUUGUUGGUGGGGUAAUGGCCUACCAAGGCGGCGACGGGUAGCCGGCCUGAGAGGGUGGACGGCCACAUUGGGACUGAGAUACGGCCCAGACUCCUACGGGAGGCAGCAGUGGGGAAUAUUGCACAAUGGGCGGAAGCCUGAUGCAGCGACGCCGCGUGGGGGAUGACGGCCUUCGGGUUGUAAACUCCUUUCGACCGCGAGGAAGCCACCUGGUUGGAAGGGUGGUGACGGUAGUGGUAGAAGAAGCACCGGCUAACUACGUG
rnacentral:rRNA from 1 species